rnacentral:rRNA from 1 species
AGCAGUCGCGGUAAUUCCAGCUCCAAUAGCGUAUAUUAAAGUUGUUGCAGUUAAAAAGCUCGUAGUUGAAUUUCGGGGUCAGUAGGCUGGUCGUGCCACCGGUACGUACUGGUCUCACUGAUUCCUCCUUCCUGAAGAACCGUAAUGCCAUUAAUUUGGUGUUGCGGGGAAACAGGACUGUUACUUUGAAAAAAUUAGAGUGUUUAAAGCAAGCUAACGCUUGAAUACAUUAGCAUGGAAUAAUGAAAUAGGACGAUCGAUCCUAUUUUGUUGGUUUCUAGGAUUGACGUAAUGAUUAAUAGGGAUAGUUGGGGGCAUUAGUAUUCAAUUGUCAGAGGUGAAAUUCUUGGAUUUAUUGAAGACUAACUACUGCGAAAGCAUUUGCCAAGGAUGUUUUCAUUAAUCAAGAACGAAAGUUAGGGGAUCGAAGACGAUCAGAUACCGUCGUAGUCUUAACCAUAAACUAUGCCGACUAGGAAUCAGACGAUGUUAAUUUUUUAAUGACUCAUUUGGCACCUUA